rnacentral:rRNA from 1 species
AGGACGAACGCUGGCGGCGUGCUUCAUACAUGCAAGUCGAACGAGAAACUGACUUCGGUCAGUGGAAAGUGGCGGACGGGUGAGUAAAAUGUAGAGAAUCUGCCCUAGGGAGUGGGACAACAGAGGGAAACUUCUGCUAAUACCGCAUAUGCGCGUAGCUGAAAUGCUAUUCGUGAAAACUCCGGUGCUCUGGGAUGAGUCUGCAUCUGAUUAGCUAGUUGGCGGUGUAAUGGACCACCAAGGCGACGAUCAGUAGCUGGUUUGAGAGGAUGAUCAGCCACAAUGGGACUGAGACACGGCCCAUACUCCUACGGGAGGCAGCAGUAGGGAAUUUUGCGCAAUGGGGGAAACCCUGACGCCAGCAACGCCGCGUGAUUGAAGAAGCCCUUCGGGGUGUAAAGAUCUGUCAGUGGGGACGAAACUUGACGGUACCCACAGAGGAAGCAUCGGCUAACUCCGUGCCAGCCGCCGC